rnacentral:rRNA from 1 species
UGACCUCGGAUCAGGUAGGGAUACCCGCUGAACUUAAGCAUAUCAAUAAGCGGAGGAAAU